CAGAGGUCUUUAAAAACUUAUAAAUGGUGAGCAUGUGUACCCAUUAUUUGGAAGGACAAAGGAGACAUGCAUUAUUGUGCUCGGCGGAGCAGCAACCAACCUCUUCAACCAAAGUAAACCACAUCAAGACGUUCUAAAUCGCUUCAUUUCCAGCACCGCGUCAACACGUCCGCUUCACCAACCAAAGAACUCGGAACGAAGAAGCGAAACUGAUCUUGUCCAUGUAUUGUAGUACAUGUAAAUACUAAAGUAAUAUGACCGAGCCAAAAUCUGAAAUGUGUAGGCAGAUCUAUGCAUGCAAUCGUCCAGAAGUCUGAAUAAUGGUCGAUCGGUGGUUGGGAUUACGAGCAAUAAAUAAUUUAGUUGGCCACAAAGGGGACAAUUAGAACAGAGGUCUAUUCUCCAUCACUUUACUUGGGUCCAGCCACUAUGUACGUUCGCUGUCCUGUCGUCACUUUUGGCUCGCAAUUCACUCAACUGUGAAUUCCCUCUGAAUGACAGAAACCUUAAACGAAAGCGAUUUCAUACGACGAGUAGUACAAACUUUGAACCAAAUGUUCUUUCACAAGGUCUUUUCUUCUGCGGUCUGGAGCUCCAGCAUGCAACUCAUGCCCAAGAAGACCGUGGUUGAAAAGACAGCAGAAGAAGAAGAGCACAAGCAGCCACGGUAGCCAAGCUAUUAUGACGCUUUUCUUUUCAACAGCUCCAUUAUGGUAAUCCAAUACCAUUGCAAAAUGCAUGUAUCUAUAUGAAAGAAAGGUCUCCAACUAAUUCACAAAUAGUUAUUUCCGAAUUGUCCUCUGCCAGACAAUAGAAAAGAUACAAUGCAGCACGCAAUUCCUUAAACGUAAAACCGACUAUGUGCCACCACGAGUAAAGGUACUAUGUUGAAUCCCAUGUCAUGAUGCCACCAGGAAGAAGGUCUGGGUCGUCGGAAAAUUGUAAUGGAAGAAAGUGACAAAGUACACAUGUCCUGGUCAAGUACUUCAUUCACUAGUUAAGUUAUUUCAACGUCAACUUUUGAAUUUGAAACGAGAACAAGCAAGGUAAACUGAGACGACGACGACGAUGGCCUUUAUUUGUACCGAUAACUGCUCAAGACUAAGAAAUACCUACAUACGCACCUUCCCUACACCGUCCGAAGAAGUAAUAAAGAGAGGAAGAGCAUUGUUUAGAAAUAGGAGCUGAGCUGAGUUAAGAUGACAAUAAUAUUUUGUAACCACUAUAUUUCCAACAAAGGCCGUCGUCGGUGUCGGUCGGUGUCGGCAGAGUGCUAACGAAAGCUCAAGAGGAACAAUGGGACUGUUACAGUGAUAUCACAAUAGUGUGAAACGACACCGGCUUAAAUUCUUUCACUCUUUUUUGUCCGAUGAUGCAAAACUCGAGGCCAGAAUAUUCUACUUAUUUAUAAGCGUUCUUCUUCUCCAGCCAGACCGCAGAGACGAAUAAAGCCGCGAUCUCACUUAUCAUUCUGCACCCGACUAUGGACAACGUAGUAAUUUUUCCUUUUGGAAAUUAAGUAAUAAAUAAAUGCCUUCUUGAUUGCAUGAUUACAUGUCUCCUUUGAGUCAGAUGACGGGAUGGAUUUCUUGAAAUUCUUGGUUUUGUGUUCACGUAGUACACACACACAAAGAGAAACAUUUGCUAAUAGGGACGAAUGGGAACCUUUUAAGAAGGAAUUUUUUGGUCGCUGUUCGUGAUUCAUCAAGAAUUUUUUCAGGUGGAAUUCCAUUGCAUGCCAUGCACAUACAUACGUCUGAUAUUUUUAAAUAUGUAUUAAAAUACUUAUUAUUCUGCGUUGUGAGAAAUGUGUCUGAAUGGAUUGUGUGAGGAUGAGGAUACUUAAUAACAAAACAAUUUCGUCUCAA